GGUGUUAGAGUCGCUGCCCGGCAAGCAGUAGAUGCGGGUUCAAGUCCCGCUGGUACCA
rnacentral:tRNA from 1 species